rnacentral:rRNA from 1 species
GACGGAGGAUGCAAGCGCUAUCCGGAAUGAUUGGGCGUAAAGCGUCCGCAGGUGGCAGUUCAAGUCUGCUGUCAAAGACCGGGGCUUAACUUCGGAAAGGCAGUGGAAACUGAACAGCUAGAGUAUGGUAGGGGCAGAGGGAAUUCCUGGUGUAGCGGUGAAAUGCGUAGAGAUCAGGAAGAGCAUCGGUGGCGAAGGCGCUCUGCUGGACCAUAACUGACACUCAGGGACGAAAGCUAGGGGAGCGAAUGGG